UACGUAGGGGGCAAGCGUUGUCCGGAAUCAUUGGGCGUAAAGCGCGUGUAGGCGGCCAGGUAGGUCCGUUGUGAAAACUCGAGGCUCAACCUCGAGAUGUCGGCGGAAACCAUCUGGCUAGAGUCCGGAAGAGGAGAGUGGAAUUCCUGGUGUAGCGGUGAAAUGCGCAGAUAUCAGGAAGAACACCCGUGGCGAAGGCGGCUCUCUGGGACGGUACUGACGCUGAGACGCGAAAGCGUGGGGAGCGAACAGG
rnacentral:rRNA from 1 species